rnacentral:rRNA from 1 species
UACGUAGGGUGCGAGCGUUGUCCGGAAUUAUUGGGCGUAAAGGGCUCGUAGGCGGUCUGUCGCGUCGGGAGUGAAAACUCAGGGCUUAACCCUGAGCCUGCUUCCGAUACGGGCAGACUAGAGGUAUGCAGGGGAGAACGGAAUUCCUGGUGUAGCGGUGAAAUGCGCAGAUAUCAGGAGAACACCGGUGGCGAAGGCGGUCUCUGGUCAUGACUGACGUGAGACGCGAAAGCGUGGGGAGCAAACAGG